rnacentral:lncRNA from 1 species
AGCUGAGAAAUUUUGAUGAAAAGAAAUUGUUUGGUAUAGAUUGAAACGAAAUUUGUGUUAUGAACAUUAUUGAGAUAUAACGUUUUUAUAUUGUCUCCAUCUACUCGGCUUUAGAUGCUUUUGAUGGUAAUUGUUUACUCACUGGGAUUAUGUAAUCAUAAUCUCACCCCUCUUCCUAUCCAUUUUUCAGGCUUAGGACAAUUUGUUGAUAGUUGAUUAAGACGAUAAUUAAUUUCGGAGUUGCAUCCUAGAAAGUAAGGGUUCGUAGCCCUACAUCUUCUUAGUCAAUUGAGGGCCCACGUGUCACUGUAAAAGUAAUUUUAUUCUUCAGUUAUUUGAUUUAAAGUAUGUAUGAAUAUACUAAGAUUUUACACCAUGUUUUUGGCGAGUUUCGAUAUUUUUGAAGAAAAAUGACGAAAAUGCCCCUGUGAGUCAAAAAGUAAUAUUUUAUUGUUUUGAUUUGGAAAUGACUUAUGAUUUUUUUGAAAUGUGCGAUUUAAUAACUGUCUCUCACUAGGGAGAUGCGGAAGCUGAUGCUAAGCCUUGCGGGGUUUCGAUCGGCAUUCGGGGUAAUGAGUACCUAUCGGGACGUCGCGGCGGUUGUCACGGGCUUGAUGGGAGUUCCGGGUCGUGACAUCUUUA